GCGGGUGUAAUUCACCGGUAGAAUGCCACUUUUCCAAAGUGGACGUAAGGGGUCCGACUCCCCUCACCCGCUCCA
rnacentral:tRNA from 1 species